AAAUAUAAAAAUGAAUGGUAAUGACAGAAAUAAUAAGACGUUACAUACAAAAAGUAAAUCAACUUUAUAUACAUUUGCAAAUAAUUAAUUAUUUAUUUUUUUUUUAAACAGAUAAAAUUAAUCCAAUAAUGAAUAGGGAAGUUAAAAUAAACAGCAAAAGUGAUUUUAUACAUUACUUAAAAAUAUUAAACCACGUGGGAUUUUUUGAAGAUGCAAUUGCUUUAGUUAAAUCCGUCAAAUUUGAUAUUUAUUGUCUGAAUUAUACAGAAGCCCAAGUAUUGGGAUCUGUUUUCAGAAGUGCUUUAAAUGUUAAAAGGAAAGAAAAGAAAACAUUAGAGAAAUAUAUGAAAGAAGUAAUUACUUGUGAAGCAAGAAUGAAAUGUGCUGAAUUACAUAUAGCCAAAUUAAUUAAAGAUAUAAAAUAUAUAGAACUAACUAUUUAUAAUACCAUUAAAAAUAAAUGUAUUACUAAAACUAAUGACGAGCAAACAUUAAUGUGUUACUGGCAUUUAAUUGGGGAUGUUAUGAGAUAUAGCGCAGAAACAAUGAAUGUAGAAAAAAGGUAUAGGGUGCAAGAAAAAAGCCAGCUAGCAUACACUAAUGCCUUGAAAUAUGCAAACAAACUGAAAAUACCUUCAUCAAGAUCAGAAAAAUUAGAAGUUAUAAUUGGUUUAGCAGGUAAACAUACACAUAUAUACAUAUAAUAUAUGUCCAUUUGGUGUACAUAUUUUUUACAUACACGUAUGUAAAAGCUUAUGGAAUUAUAGAACUUUUUUAUAAAUACUAUUUAUUUUUUUUUAUGAUUUUUAGUUUUAAACAAAGAUAUGGGUAAAGAUAUAAAUGUUUCUAUAGAGAUGUUAGCACAAGCAUUUAGAGAUGCAAUUCAAAAUAUGCACCUUCUUGAGUAAUAUAUAAAAUGAAUUAAUUUGCUUAAAACAAUUUUUUUAGAAAUAAUAAUUAUGCUUUUUAUUUUUUUUAUUUACUGUAUAUAAAAACAGUGUGUUUGCAUGCGUAUAUAAAAACAUUGUGUUUGCAUUCAUAUAUA
rnacentral:lncRNA from 1 species